GCCUUCGUAGCUCAGUGGAUAGAGCGCCAGCCUCCGGAGCUGGAUACCCCGGUUCGAGUCCGGGCGAAGGUA
rnacentral:tRNA from 1 species